rnacentral:rRNA from 1 species
CCCUGUUAUUCUAUUAAAAAAUAAUAUUUCAAAAAAACUAAAUAUAAUAAAUUUGACGGUAUUAACUUUUACAAAGGAAUUUGUUUCUAAAUCGAAAAUACACGAUAUACCUCACUUAAUUCAUAUUUGUAUACCACCGUAUAAAGUAAUUAUAAAAAAUUAAUUACCAAAAAAAAUAUUUUAAAACAUCAGGUCAAGGUGCAAUUUUAUUAAGAUGAAAUGAAUUAUAAUACUAAAUUUUUUACACAUAAAAAUUGAAAUAAUUUUUAAAAUUAGAAUUUGUUAGUAAAAACUAAUCAUUAUGUUUUUUUGAAAACUAACAUUAAUAUGUACAUAUCGCCCG